rnacentral:rRNA from 1 species
UGGGGAAUAUUGGACAAUGGGCGCAAGCCUGAUCCAGCCAUGCCGCGUGAGUGAUGAAGGCCCUAGGGUUGUAAAGCUCUUUCACCGGUGAGGAUAAUGACGGUAACCGGAGAAGAAGCCCCGGCUAACUUCGUGCCAGCAGCCGCGGUAAUACGAAGGGGGCUAGCGUUGUUCGGAUUUACUGGGCGUAAAGCGCACGUAGGCGGACUUUUAAGUCAGGGGUGAAAUCCCGGGGCUCAACCCCGGAACCGCCUUUGAUACUGGAAGUCUUGAGUAUGGUAGAGGUGAGUGGAAUUCCGAGUGUAGAGGUGAAAUUCGUAGAUAUUCGGAGGAACACCAGUGGCGAAGGCGGCUCACUGGACCAUUACUGACGCUGAGGUGCGAAAGCGUGGGGAGCAAACA